AGUGAACGCUGGUGGUAGGCCUAACACAUGCAAGUCGAACGGCAGCACAGUAAGAGCUUGCUCUUACGGGUGGCGAGUGGCGGACGGGUGAGGAAUACAUCGGAAUCUACUUUUUCGUGGGGGAUAACGUAGGGAAACUUACGCUAAUACCGCAUACGACCUACGGGUGAAAGCAGGGGAUCUUCGGACCUUGCGCGGUUGAAUGAGCCGAUGUCGGAUUAGCUAGUUGGCGGGGUAAAGGCCCACCAAGGCGACGAUCCGUAGCUGGUCUGAGAGGAUGAUCAGCCACACUGGAACUGAGACACGGUCCAGACUCCUACGGGAGGCAGCAGUGGGGAAUAUUGGACAAUGGGCGCAAGCCUGAUCCAGCCAUACCGCGUGGGUGAAGAAGGCCUUCGGGUUGUAAAGCCCUUUUGUUGGGAAAGAAAAGCAGCAGGUUAAUACCCCGCUGUUCUGACGGUACCCAAAGAAUAAGCACCGGCUAACUUCGUG
rnacentral:rRNA from 1 species